CAGUAACGGCGAGUGAAGCGGCAACAGCUCAAAUUUGAAAUCUGGCUCCUUCGGGGUCCGAAUUGUAAUUUGUAGAGAGUGCUUCGGGCGAGACCUCGGUCUAAGUCCAUUGGAACAUGGUGUCAUAGAGGGUGAGAAUCCCGUAUGCGACCGUGGCUCGAGCCCAUGUGAAGCCUCUUCGACGAGUCGAGUUGUUUGGGAAUGCAGCUCAAAAUGGGUGGUAAAUUUCAUCUAAAGCUAAAUACUGGCUGGAGACCGAUAGCGCACAAGUAGAGUGAUCGAAAGAUGAAAAGCACUUUGGAAAGAGAGUCAAACAGUACGUGAAAUUGUUGAAAGGGAAGCGCUUGCAACCAGACCUGCCCGUAGGCGAUCAGCCGCUGUUCUCAGCGGUGUACUCGCUCUGCGAUCAGGCCAGCAUCGGUUUCGGCGGUCGGAUAAAGACCUUGGGAAUGUAGCUUCCCUUCGGGGAAGUCUUAUAGCCCUCGGUGUAAUGCGGCCAGCCGGGACCGAGGACCGCGCUUCGGCUAGGAUGCUGGCGUAAUGGUUGUAAGCGACCCGUCUUGAAACACGGACCAAGGAGUCUAACAUCUAUGCGAGUGUUUGGGUGUCAAACCCAUACGCGGAAUGAAAGUGAACGGAGGUGGGAACCCUUAAGGGCGCAUCAUCGACCGAUCCAGAUGUCUUCGGAUGGAUUUGAGUAUGAGCAUAGCUGUUGGGACCCGAAAGAUGGUGAACUAUGCCUGAAUAGGGUGAAGCCAGAGGAAACUCUGGUGGAGGCUCGCAGCGGUUCUGACGUGCAAAUCGAUCGUCAAAUUUGGGUAUAGGGGCGAAAGACUAAUC
rnacentral:rRNA from 1 species